AUUUUGACAUAUGUUGUUUUUAUUUGAAUUUAUUAUGUUUUAACUUAAAAUUUAAUGAUUUAAUUAAUUAAUAGUUAUUAAAAUAUUUUCAGACUGAUGAAAGUACUUCCCGACACAGCUUUAGUUCUGACAGCGAUGAUUCUGAUGUACCAGAAGAAUUGAAAAAAGAAUAUGUAGAAGAAAAUGCUGAUGAUUAUCAGAAAGUUUCAAAAACACACAAAAAACAUAACUUCACUACCAAGAAAAAGCAACCUCCUAUUUUGACAAAUACAACUUUGAAUGUUUUGAGAUUAUUUGGCAAAUAUAUGCAAAUGAUGCAUGUUUUGAAACCGAUUGCUUUUGACGUUCUUAAUUGUAUGUUUCAAUUAUUUGAUUAUUAUAUGUAUGCUGUGUUUUGCUUUUUUGCAAAAGAAAUGU